CAGAAGGUACACUGGCCCUGGAGUAGGGAAGUUUCCCUAAUCCAUCUCUUUGACCAUGACCUUCACAAAAGUGACUAUAGAGGAGUCAUUUUAAAAUGGAGUCAGAGCUGCCUGUCCAGAGAAAUUGCUUGGCUGUCUUAAACCUCGGACUGGGCCAAACCUGUGGAGAGGACCAGAAUGGCAAUUGUUUUACAAGCAAUUGUUUGAGAAGUCAGCAGGAGAACAGACACUCUGAUCACAAAGACCGAGGGUUGUGGACUUUCUGAAGAUGGAAUCAAUAGCCAAUCAAUGUUUAACCAAGACUAGCUGUCUGCCUCCAACUCCAAUUAAAAUUCUUUGUAAUACAACCUCCCUUCUUUGCCUUUAAAAGCUCCUGAUUUUUAGUGCCUAGUGGAACACUUUUUGAGUUUCUACCUAAAUAUGUUUCUCCCAAAUUGCAGUUCUAAUUGCCCAAAUAAAUAUCUGCUGUUUAAAUUGCAGUGAUUUUUCCUCUGUCAACAACCUACGAGGUGGUAAGCAACUAUAAGACGUGAGGCCAGAGAAAUGUGCUUGUCAUUUGUGUGUCCUCAGUCUCUGGUACUAGUCACAGAGUCAGUGCCCUGAAUGCUUUCGAGUAAAUUAAUUAAUCAGUGUUGGAAAAUACUCAAGGUACGACUUCAAGAACUUGAAUUCCCAGGCAAGACUGGGAUCUCAGGAGCCAAAGCUGAGCACAGGAGAAGGUUUGCUUCACCCCAAUCAGUUCCCCUGGGCCAGAUAAACUCCAGCUACACCUCACAAAGCCCAACUUCUGGACAUUGAGAGAUGGAGGAUCUCCUAAUCAUUCAACAAAUAGCCACUGAGUGUGUGGCAGGCCAGGCACCAUCUUGGCGUUUCGGAUGAAAGGAAGAAGACACCAGCUGUAUUCACUAAUAGCUCCCAGCCUGCUGCGACAGAUGGACAAGGGAGGAGGCGAUUACAAAGCAGGAAGACUGGCAUCCUGACAAAGCCAAAUCCCAGCUACCCCCGCAAGGCUGCACCACCAGAGGCCCCCCUUCUCUGCCAUUUCAUCCCUUUUUAAGGUCAAAAAGGCUAUCUGUAGUGUACAAAGAAACUAAACUCAUCUCUCCGCAGCCCAGAGUCAUCUCAGCUGCCCACACCCGUGGCUCUCAGUCACCCAAGGAGAAGUCACAGGGACAGGGCCCACUCCAGUGAUAGCCACCUUCCAUCAGCCUGGCCCUUUACCCUGCUCAGGCAGGCCUCAUGGUCACCAAUGGCUGUCCCAGGCCUGUGGGUCCAGGGCCCCGUUCGUCAUGUGCUGCUUUUGGGAAAGACUAGACAAGGAGACCUUAGCUCCCACACCCACCUCUCCUAGUCUGGCCUCCCUGACUGGCUAAUGGCUCAGGAAUGGAGGAGACUGCUUUCUCAGAGCCUGGGGUGGUGCCUGGUCCAGUCUAAGUGCUCAGCACCCUGUGUUGAAGAGAGGGAGGGAAAAACGGAGCAAAGAGUGAAAGAGACUUUACAGAUGAGAAAAUCCAGUGGCAAAGUAAAAAUAAGCACUAGGCUACUGAGGGAGGAGUCCUAGAUUUGAAUGCUGUCAAUUUUUAACCUUUAGUGUGACUGGGCAAAUGACCAACCCUUUGUGACCCUAGGUUUCCUCAUCUGUAACAAUGGGAUCAUAACAGUGUCUACUUCAUAGAGAUAAAACGAGAUGUCUAUAGAGCACUUGGCCCAGUGUCUGACAGACAAUAACACUGCAUAGACGUGAACUUUACAAUUAUAAUUAUUAUAUCACCACCCUUGACUUGCAGCUCCUCACCUGUAAAAUGAGGGGUUGAACCACAUGACCCCCGACUCCUUUCCAGUCCAACCGUUCUGUGACUUGGUAGGGUAGAAAUCAACUCUUUUUACAUCAGCCCCACUUCACAGUGACAAUGGACGAGGAGAGCAGAGGUGCUGGAGUCCAGGUCUGAGUCAUGGCCCAAGCACCCAGGCCAGCUCCAGCAUCCAGUUCAGGACGAUGCUGUUGCUGAAUGCAGCUGAAAGGCUUUCACCUCUGGCUGUGCCCCACUGCAUUUGACGUGUGUCUUGCCUCUUGUCGCAAGACUAAGCUAAUAUUAAAUCUUACUGUUCAGCACACUGUGAAUUGCUAUUGAUUGUCCCAUUGUGUCUCAGAUUAGCUUUAAAGCAUUAUAUACUCAACCAAGUACAGCUCACUAAACUAGCAUACAGAGUCACCUCUCAACUCCCAGCAGGCUUCGGAAUGUUUUUGAGACUGUGAAUUUCUUGGAGAAUUGAACAAAAUUUUCAUCGAACAGCUGGCAACUUGCAUUGGACAACUGACGUUGAACAACUGAGGGAAAGAUCCUCCAAAGCUCUGUCUGCAAAGAAUAUAAAUUAGUAAUGAUCAAUUUCAGUGACUGCCAAUGCAUGAAUCAUUUCAGCAAUAAAACUGUUUGGGGAAAGACUGAAGGAUUGUCUCUUAAACUUACGCUCCCAGAAUUCUGUUAUUCAAUGUGUCCAGGGCAAUGAUGGA
ensembl:lncRNA